AGUUUGCGCAGACAGGUGUCUACGGUCGGAGUGGAAUGAAGAAGUUGCAUCUGAUAAUUCUUCCAUUGUGUAGCAGCAACUGCAGCUGACAUGGAAUGAGGAUUAUCGGAUUCACCUCUCACUGAUCAUCCAAGGUGAAUUGAUGACCUCAAGCAAAUGGAUGUUGUCAUCUGAAGAGAAAGUUAUCCUGGGCCCAUGUUUAGAGGCAUUUGGGGCAUAUCUGACACAUAUCACAAUCAAGCUGCAUGCACACUUGAGUUUAUUCAGAGGUAAUUCAGAG